UUUUCUGUCUGCAAGGCUCUGGGCCUCUUGGCCGUCCAUUUCUAGCAGGACGGAUGACACGAAUUCUACCCAUGAGUGAUGCUGUACUACCACCCAUCUUUCUUGGGAGCAACUUGAAAGGCCGACUGGUUUAUUGUUUUUAUUCUCUCAGCUCAAGGCCUGAGUCAUUCCAUUAAGUGAGCGUUCUCCCAGCCAACAGCUGCAAAGUACCAGAUUGGCACGAAGCAGUGUGAGGAUGAAAGGACAUAAUGUCUGUAAUCACUCAGCCAGUGCCUGGCACAAAGGAAGCCCCCAUAGGUGUUGAGACCAGAAUACUUCACAGAAAGUCUUAUUUCUGCUCUGAGUCCAUGAUUCUCAAAGGAUGUGGAAGGGGCUGAAGGAGUCAGUCCUUUGCAAUGGGGAGGGACUAGAGCCUGCCUGCUCCUUUGGAAGCUAACUCCUUGAGAGGACUUGGAGGUAUGUUAUUCUAGCUUCUAUUACUAGAGUCAGCAAUCCGGCUUACAAAAAAAGCCUUGCUAUAAACUACUGUUGUGUGUGUUUGUGGUU